AACGAACGCUGGCGGCAGGCCUCAAACAUGCAAGUCUAGGGGGUGUAGCAAUACAUCACCGGCGGACGGGUGCGUAACGCGUGGGAACAUACCUUUCGGUACGGAACAACUGCGGGAAACUGCAGCUAAUACCGUAUACGCCCUUACGGGGAAAGAUUUAUCGCCGAAGGAUUGGCCCGCGUUCGAUUAGCUAGUUGGUGGGGUAAAAGCCCACCAAGGCUACGAUCGAUAGCUGUUCUGAGAGGAAGAUCAGCCACACUGGGACUGAGACACGGCCCAGACUCCUACGGGAGGCAGCAGUUGGGAAUCUUGGACAAUGGGGGAAACCCUGAUCCAGCCAUGCCGCGUGAGUGAGGAAGGCCUUCGGGUUGUAAAACUCUUUCGACGGGGACGAUAAUGACGGUACCCGUAGAAGAAGCUCCGGCUAACUUCGUGCCAGCAGCCGCCGCCG
rnacentral:rRNA from 1 species